rnacentral:rRNA from 1 species
AUGCCGAUGUUCGCUCUCAUGGUGUUGAGGGCACCGAAGAAGUUUUUCAAGGAGGUAGAUAAAGCUAGACAUCGUUUCCUGUGGGCGCAAGAUGAAGAGGUGACCGGAGGAAAGUGCAAGGUUGCAUGGAGCGCGGUCACCGCGCCGGAGUCCCACGGAGGCCUCAUCAUCCAUGAUCUGGACAAGUUCGCGUGCGCCCUCCGCCUGCACUAG